GCAACCUCGCGCCAACUGUCAAAAUGUUUUGAAAAACAAAAUGCUCUUAUUUCGAUGCAUUUCAAGAGUUUUGUUGUGAUAAAAACACUGGAAUAUAGACUGAAAUACUAUCCAACCAUUAGACUCAUGAUCUUGACAUGGAUCCAAGAUGCUGGUAACUAGGCGGGACGGAUUGUUUCACAGAACUGCAGGUUUCUGGAUGGGGACUCAGCGCCAUGUCACAAAUACUUCAGAACCUAGAAUGAAAGUUACCGAAAGAGCAAUAGACUUUCCAAUCUCUACAAAAUUCAUCUUAACUGUUUUUCAAGGUGAUACUUGAGACUACCAAAGACUUUUCAAGGACAGAAUUCACAAAACAGUUUAUGCCACCAUCUCAUAUCAAAAGAUUGUGCUUGAGUUGAACAGCCUUCAAACAGAAACUGUUUCAACACCUUCAAUGGAUUCGUUCUGAUUCAGUUUACUCUUGCUGUGGUCUGAGCAACUAUUUACAUCAGUUCAAGUUCAACAUUGUAAAUUGUUUAAACUUGAAAAUUCUGUCUUCUCGCAACUCACAUGAAUCUAUUUACUGUGGACUUUGAUGUUGACUCUAUACAGGAAAAAGAGACCAUCUUUAUACAAGCUGGCAUAUCAUUUAAAAAGGAACCAAAUUUUAUAACCAACAUACUGCACUGUUAUGUCAUCCAAGGACUCAGCUACUGAGUCAAUUUAUAAAUACUUCAAAGGAAAAAAAUGUCUCUGUCAAUGUAAUUACUGUUGUGCAUAAUAAGACAUUUUUUAUUAUGCCCCCCUUCAAAGAAGAGGGGUAUAUUGCUUUGCACAUGUCGGUUGGUCGGUACCGUCUACCGUCUGUAGACCAAAGCUUGUCCAAGUGAUAACUCAACAAUUCCUAGAUGUAUGGUCUUCAAACUUGACAUGAAGGUUGGGCCUGACCAGUAGAUGAUUUUAUAGCUCAUGGGGUCAAAGGUCAAGGUCACAGUGACCUUGAAUGGUAAAUUAAUUUUAAAGCUUUUCCGAGUGAUGACUCAACAAUGCCUAGACCUAUGGUCAUCAAACUUGAUAUGGAAAUUGGGCCUCACCAAUAGAUGACCCCUAUUGCUUUUGGGGAUCAUCGAGCCAAAGAUCAAGGUCACAGUGGCCUUGAAUGGUAAAAGGUUGUCCAAGUGAUAAAUCAACAAUGCCUGCACCCAUGGCCCUCAAACUUGACUCGGAGGUUGGGCCUUACCAGUAGAUGACCCCUAUUGAUUUUAGGGGUCAAAGGUCAAGGUCACAGUGAUCUUGAAAGCAAAUUCGACAAUUCCUGGUCCAAUGGUCAUCAAACUUGACAUAAAGGUUGGGCCUGACCAGUAGAUGACCCCUCUUGACUUUGAGGGUCAUCGAGCCAAGGUCAAGGUCACAAUAACCUUUAAUGCAAAAAAGAUAACAAAUCUUCUCCCUGUGAUAUCUCAACAAUGCCUGAACCUAUGAUCAUCAAACUUGACAUGGAAGUUGGGCCUGACAAGGAGAUGACGCUUAUUGAUUUUAGGAGUCAUUGGGUCAAAGGUCAAGUUCACAGUGACCUUGAAUGUGAAAAUGUUUCGAGUGAUAACUUGACAAUGCCUGUACCCAUGGCCCUCAAACCUGACUUGGAGUUGUGUCUGACCUGUAGAUGACCCCUUUUCAUUUUAGGGGUCAUCGGGUCAAACGUCCAGGUCACA